rnacentral:rRNA from 1 species
ACUCAAAGGAAUAGACGGGGGCCCGCACAAGCAGUGGAUUAUGUGGUUUAAUUCGAAGCAACGCGAAGAACCUUACCAGGUCUUGACAUCCCGCGCAUAGUGCAGAGAUGCAUGAAGCCCUUCGGGGCGCGGAGACAGGUGGUGCAUGGUUGUCGUCAGCUCGUGUCGUGAGAUGUUGGGUUAAGUCCCGCAACGAGCGCAACCCCUACGAUUAGUUGCUACGCAAGAGCACUCUAAUAGGACUGCCGUUGACAAAACGGAGGAAGGUGGGGACGACGUCAAAUCAUCAUGCCCCUUAUGACCUGGGCUACACACGUAAUACAAUGGCACUUUAACAACGGGAAGCGAUGUCGCGAGGCGGAGCAAAACCCCAAAAAGUGUCUCAGUUCGGAUCGUAGGCUGCAACUCGCCUGCGUGAAGUCGGAAUUGCUAGUAAUCGCGGAUCAGCACGCCGCGGUGAAUACGUUCCCGGGCCUUGUACACACCGCCCGU